GACGAACGCUGGCGGCGUGCUUAACACAUGCAAGUCGAACGGAAAGGCCCUGCUUUUGUGGGGUGCUCGAGUGGCGAACGGGUGAGUAACACGUGAGUAACCUGCCCUUGACUUUGGGAUAACUUCAGGAAACUGGGGCUAAUACCGGAUAGGAGCUCCUGCUGCAUGGUGGGGGUUGGAAAGUUUCGGCGGUUGGGGAUGGACUCGCGGCUUAUCAGCUUGUUGGUGGGGUAGUGGCUUACCAAGGCUUUGACGGGUCGCCGGCCUGAGAGGGUGACCGGCCACAUUGGGACUGAGGUACGGCCCAGACUCCUACGGGAGGCAGCAGUGGGGAAUAUUGCACAAUGGGCGGGAGCCUGAUGCAGCAACGCCGCGUGCGGGAUGACGGCCUUCGGGUUGUAAACCGCUUUCGCCUGUGACGAAGCGUGAGUGACGGUAAUGGGUAAAGAAGCACCGGCUAACUACGUG
rnacentral:rRNA from 1 species